rnacentral:rRNA from 1 species
GAUGAACGCUGGCGGCGUGCCUAAUACAUGCAAGUCGAGCGAACGGACGAGAAGCUUGCUUUUCUGAUGUUAGCGGCGGACGGGUGAGUAACACGUGGAUAACCUACCUAUAAGACUGGGAUAACUUCGGGAAACCGGAGCUAAUACCGGAUAAUAUUUUGAACCGCAUGGUUCAUAAGUGAAAGACGGUCUUGCUGUCACUUAUAGAUGAAUCCGCGCUGCAUUAGCUAGUUGGUAAGGUAACGGCUUACCAAGGCAACGAUGCAUAGCCGACCUGAGAGGGUGAUCGGCCACACUGGAACUGAGACACGGUCCAGACUCCUACGGGAGGCAGCAGUAGGGAAUCUUCCGCAAUGGGCGAAAGCCUGACGGAGCAACGCCGCGUGAGCGAUGAAGGUCUUCGGAUCGUAAAACUCUGUUAUUAGGGAAGAACAUAUGUGUAAGUAACUGUGCACAUCUUGACGGUACCUAAUCAGAAAGCCACGGCUAACUACGUG